rnacentral:tRNA from 1 species
ACUUAUUUACAAUAAGUGGGUUUACUGUUCAAUUCAGUUGAGUCUGAUAGGUUUUUUUUUUU